UGAGUGCUAACCGACUUCGCCACCAAAGCAGCUCGGCGGCGGGGUUUAACAACGGCGUGUGUACGACGUGGUGAAUUACAAUGUGAUGAUCGUAGAUCGCAGUUCUUUCACUACAGCGCAGCUGUUGAAGUGACGGCCCUGGGCCCCCGCGCACCCAUGGCCCCGUCGUGGUGGUCGGUCCCGCCUCAGAAACGGCGCUUUCGGUUCUAUUUAGAACCGACUACAUCGUCAAAGUUCCCCUACAGAUUGUGUGGAGCCAGAAGAAAGAAUCGUCUGCUGCUCUAGAUGCUUCACAGGCAAGUUCAGAUGAGCUUACUGAGGACAAUGUCGGGCUCAAAGAUGAACCAUAUCUGCAGGAUGAAUUUCCUAUAACAGUCAGCAAGGUCCAUGGUAAUUCGGAAUGUAGUCAAGAGGUUCCUGAGGAUGUUGAAGUCGACAACCCAGAUGCUGACGUCUCUGAUUGUGUGGCAAGAAAUUAAGCAGUAGUGCUUCCUGGCCUCUCUCAUCCCAUGUCUCGAUGACAUUCUGCCAUCAAGAUACAUCAGGCAUUUCAUGCCGCUUUCUAAAAGCCUCUUCAUGCUGCUCAAGGAAACUGUCGAGGAGUCUGAGGCAUUUAUUGCUCAGAGAUUGUUAAAGAGGUUUGUUCAAGAGGUUUCCAUACUGUAUGGUGCAGCCGCUCAGACCAUAUUAUUGUUAUGCCAGGAAAUUAUCUGUCAGCAGUAUUUUUUACCCUUCAUGUACAGUAUCGAGCAUCCACCAGCACAUGUAGGGCAGUGUUUGCUGCAUGAAAGCAGCAUGGCUUCACCGUGUGUUCUUGUAAAUCGAGGGGGAACAUUCGUUGUA